rnacentral:rRNA from 1 species
GCAAGUCGAACGGCAGCACGAAGAGCUUGCUCUUUGGUGGCGAGUGGCGGACGGGUGAGUAACACUUAGGAAUCUAUCCAGUAGCUGGGGAUAACGUGGGGAAACUCACGCUAAUACCGAAUACGCACUACGGUGGAAAGAGGGGGAUCUCUUCGGGGACCUCUCACUAUUGGGUGAGCCUAAGCCGGAUUAGCUAGUUGGUGGGGUAAAGGCCUACCAAGGCGACGAUCCGUAGCUGGUCUGAGAGGAUGGAC